rnacentral:rRNA from 1 species
AUUGAACGCUGGCGGCAUGCCUUACACAUGCAAGUCGAACGGCAGCACGGGUGCUUGCACCUGGUGGCGAGUGGCGAACGGGUGAGUAAUACAUCGGAACGUACCUUAUCGUGGGGGAUAACGCAGCGAAAGUUGCGCUAAUACCGCAUACGCCCUGAGGGGGGAAGCGGGGGACCGUAAGGCCUCGCGCGAUUAGAGCGGCCGAUGUCUGAUUAGCUUGUUGGUGAGGUAAAAGCUCACCAAGGCGAUGAUCAGUAGCUGGUCUGAGAGGACGAUCAGCCACACUGGGACUAAGACACGGCCCAGACUCCUACGGGAGGCAGCAGUGGGGAAUUUUGGACAAUGGGGGCAACCCUGAUCCAGCAAUGCCGCGUGAGUGAAGAAGGCCUUCGGGUUGUAAAGCUCUUUUGUCAGGGAAGAAACAGCAGCUCUAACACAGUCUGCGAAUGACGGUACCUGAAGAAUAAGCACCGGCUAACUACGUGCCAGCCGCCGCCGUAA